AGGGUGUAAACGCUGCCGACUUGGUGUUGGAGGCCCUUCGGGGGCAUUCAGUGCCGGAGAGAAGUUGUUAAGUCGGCCACUUGGGGAGUACGUCCGCAAGGAUGAAACUUAAAGGAAUUGGCGGGGGAGCACCGCAACGGGAGGAGCGUGCGGUUUAAUUGGAUUCAACACCGUAAAACUUACCAGGGAAGACUGUUACAUGAAAGCCGAGAUGAAGACUCUGCUAGAUUUUCAGAGAGGUGGUGCAUGGCGUCAGUGACU
rnacentral:rRNA from 1 species